AACGCGAAGAACCUUACCUACUCUUGAAUCCACAGAAUUCUGCAGAGAUGCGGAAGUGCCUUCGGGAACUGUGAGACAGGUGCUGCAUGGCUGUCGUCAGCUCGUGUCGUGAGAUGUUGGGUUAAGUCCCGUAACGAGCGCAACCCUUGUCCUUAGUUACUAACGAGUCAUGUCGAGGACUCUAAGGAGACUGCCGGUGACAAACCGGAGGAAGGUGGGGACGAUGUCAAGUCAUCAUGGCCCUUACGAGUAGGGCUACACGCGUGCUACAAUGGUUGGUACAAAGGGACGCGAAACCGCGAGGUGGAGCAAAUCCUAAAAAACCUAUCGUAGUCCGGAUUGGAGUCUGCAACUCGACUCCAUGAAGCUGGAAUCGCUAGUAAUCGUGGAUCAGAACGCCACGGUGAAUACGUUCCCGGGCCUUGUACACACCGAUAGC
rnacentral:rRNA from 1 species